rnacentral:rRNA from 1 species
CUGGAGGUAUCAGAAGUGCGAAUGCUGACAUAAGUAACGAUAAAGCGGGUGAAAAGCCCGCUCGCCGGAAGACCAAGGGUUCCUGUCCAACGUUAAUCGGGGCAGGGUGAGUCGACCCCUAAGGCGAGGCCGAAAGGCGUAGUCGAUGGGAAACAGGUUAAUAUUCCUGUACUUGGUGUUACUGCGAAGGGGGGACGGAGAAGGCUAUGUUGGCCGGGCGACGGUUGUCCCGGUUUAAGCGUGUAGGCUGGUUUUCCAGGCAAAUCCGGAAAAUCAAGGCUGAGGCGUGAUGACGAGGCACUACGGUGCUGAAGCAACAAAUGCCCUGCUUCCAGGAAAAGCCUCUAAGCAUCAGGUAACAUCAAAUCGUACCCCAAACCGACACAGGUGGUCAGGUAGAGAAUACCAAGGCGCUUGAGAGAACUCGGGUGAAGGAACUAGGCAAAAUGGUGCCGUAACUUCGGGAGAAGGCACGCUGAUAUGUAGGUGAAGCGACUUGCUCGUGGAGCUGAAAUCAGUCGAAGAUACCAGCUGGCUGCAACUGUUUAUUAAAAACACAGCACUGUGCAAACACGAAAGUGGACGUAUACGGUGUGACGCCUGCCCGGUGCCGGAAGGUUAAUUGAUGGGGUUAGCGGUAACGCGAAGCUCUUGAUCGAAGCCCCGGUAAACGGCGGCCGUAACUAUAACGGUCCUAAGGUAGCGAAAUUCCUUGUCGGGUAAGUUCCGACCUGCACGAAUGGCGUAAUGAUGGCCAGGCUGUCUCCACCCGAGACUCAGUGAAAUUGAACUCGCUGUGAAGAUGCAGUGUACCCGCGGCAAGACGGAAAGACCCCGUGAACCUUUACUAUAGCUUGACACUGAACAUUGAGCCUUGAUGUGUAGGAUAGGUGGGAGGCUUUGAAGUGUGGACGCCAGUCUGCAUGGAGCCGACCUUGAAAUACCACCCUUUAAUGUUUGAUGUUCUAACGUAGGCCCCUUAUCGGGGUUGCGGACAGUGUCUGGUGGGUAGUUUGACUGGGGCGGUCUCCUCCUAAAGAGUAACGGAGGAGCACGAAGGUUGGCUAAUCCUGGUCGGACAUCAGGAGGUUAGUGCAAUGGCAUAAGCCAGCUUGACUGCGAGCGUGACGGCGCGAGCAGGUGCGAAAGCAGGUCAUAGUGAUCCGGUGGUUCUGAAUGGAAGGGCCAUCGCUCAACGGAUAAAAGGUACUCCGGGGAUAACAGGCUGAUACCGCCCAAGAGUUCAUAUCGACGGCGGUGUUUGGCACCUCGAUGUCGGCUCAUCACAUCCUGGGGCUGAAGUAGGUCCCAAGGGUAUGGCUGUUCGCCAUUUAAAGUGGUACGCGAGCUGGGUUUAGAACGUCGUGAGACAGUUCGGUCCCUAUCUGCCGUGGGCGCUGGAGAACUGAGGGGGGCUGCUCCUAGUACGAGAGGACCGGAGUGGACGCAUCACUGGUGUUCGGGUUGUCAUGCCAAUGGCACUGCCCGGUAGCUAAAUGCGGAAGAGAUAAGUGCUGAAAGCAUCUAAGCACGAAACUUGCCCCGAGAUGAGUUCUCCCUGACCCUUUAAGGGUCCUGAAGGAACGUUGAAGACGACGACGUUGAUAGGCCGGGUGUGUAAGCGCAGCGAUGCGUUGAGCUAACCGGUACUAAUGAACCGUGAGG